rnacentral:rRNA from 1 species
UCAAGCGAACAAGUGCAUGUGGUGGAUGCCUUGGCGAUCACAGGCGAUGAAGGACGCGGUAGCCUGCGAAAAGCUACGGGGAGCUGGCAAACGAGCUUUGAUCCGUAGAUGUCCGAAUGGGGAAACCCGGCCCUUUUGGGUCAUCCUGGACUGAAUACAUAGGUCCAGUGAAGCGAACGCGGUGAACUGAAACAUCUAAGUAACCGCAGGAAAAGAAAUCAACCGAGAUUCCCAAAGUAGUGGCGAGCGAAAUGGGAUGAGCCUUGCACUCUUUAUUUGUAUUGUUAGCCGAACGCUCUGGAAAGUGCGGCCAUAGCAGGUGAUAGCCCUGUAGGCGAAAACAGUAUGAAAGAACUAGGUGUGCGACAAGUAGGGCGGGACACGUGAAAUCCUGUCUGAAGAUGGGGGGACCAUCCUCCAAGGCUAAAUACUCGUGAUCGACCGAUAGUGAACCAGUACCGUGAGGGAAAGGCGAAAAGAACCCCGGGAGGGGAGUGAAAUAGAUCCUGAAACCGCAUGCAUACAAACAGUCGGAGCCUCGCAAGGGGUGACGGCGUACCUUUUGUAUAAUGGGUCAGCGACUUACGUUCAGUAGCAAGCUUAACCGUAUAGGGCAGGCGUAGCGAAAGCGAGUCCGAAUAGGGCGUUCAGUUGCUGGGCGUAGACCCGAAACCAGGUGAUCUAUCCAUGGCCAGGAUGAAGGUGCGGUAACACGUACUGGAGGUCCGAACCCACUAACGUUGAAAAGUUAGGGGAUGAGCUGUGGAUAGGGGUGAAAGGCUAAACAAACCUGGAAAUAGCUGGUUCUCUCCGAAAACUAUUUAGGUAGUGCCUCGUGUCUCACCUUCGGGGGUAGAGCACUGUCAUGGUUGGGGGGUCUAUUGCAGAUUACCCCGCCAUAGCAAACUCCGAAUACCGAAGAGUGCAAUCACGGGAGACAGACAUCGGGUGCUAACGUCCGGUGUCAAGAGGGAAACAACCCAGACCGCCAGCUAAGGUCCCCAAAUAUAGCUAAGUGGGAAACGAAGUGGGAAGGCUAAAACAGUCAGGAGGUUGGCUUAGAAGCAGCCACCCUUUAAAGAAAGCGUAAUAGCUCACUGAUCGAGUCGUCCUGCGCGGAAGAUGUAACGGGGCUAAGCUAUAUACCGAAGCUGCGGAUGCGAGCUUGCUCGCAUGGUAGGAGAGCGUUCCGUAAGCCUGCGAAGGUGCCUUGUAAAGGGUGCUGGAGGUAUCGGAAGUGCGAAUGCUGACAUGAGUAGCGAUAAAGGGGGUGAAAGGCCCCCUCGCCGUAAGCCCAAGGUUUCCUACGCAACGUUCAUCGGCGUAGGGUGAGUCGGCCCCUAAGGCGAGGCAGAAAUGCGUAGCUGAUGGGAAGCAGGUCAAUAUUCCUGCACCAUUGUUAGAUGCGAUGGGGGGACGGAUCGCGGAAGGUUGUCCGGGUGUUGGAAGUCCCGGUCGCUGCAUUGGAGAAGGCGCUUAGGCAAAUCCGGGCGCGCAAUUCAAGGGUGUGGCGCGAGCUCCUUAGGGAGCGAAGCAAUUGGAAGUGGUUCCAAGAAAAGCCUCUAAGCUUCAGUCUAACGAUGACCGUACCGCAAACCGACACAGGUGGGCGAGAUGAGUAUUCUAAGGCGCUUGAGAGAACUCGGGAGAAGGAACUCGGCAAAUUGGUACCGUAACUUCGGGAUAAGGUACGCCCUUGUAGCUUGACUGGCCUGCGCCAGGAGGGUGAAGGGGUUGCAAUAAACUGGUGGCUGCGACUGUUUAAUAAAAACACAGCACUCUGCAAACACGAAAGUGGACGUAUAGGGUGUGACGCCUGCCCGGUGCCGGAAGAUUAAAUGAUGGGGUGCAAGCUCUUGAUUGAAGUCCCGGUAAACGGCGGCCGUAACUAUAACGGUCCUAAGGUAGCGAAAUUCCUUGUCGGGUAAGUUCCGACCUGCACGAAUGGCGUAACGAUGGCCACACUGUCUCCUCCCGAGACUCAGCGAAGUUGAAGUGUUUGUGAUGAUGCAAUCUACCCGCGGCUAGACGGAAAGACCCCAUGAACCUUUACUGUAGCUUUGCAUUGGACUUUGAACCGAUCUGUGUAGGAUAGGUGGGAGGCUAUGAAACCGGAACGCUAGUUUCGGUGGAGCCGUCCUUGAAAUACCACCCUGGUUUGUUUGAGGUUCUAACCUUGGCCCGUGAUCCGGGUCGGGGACAGUGCAUGGUAGGCAGUUUGACUGGGGCGGUCUCCUCCCAAAGCGUAACGGAGGAGUACGAAGGUACGCUAGGUACGGUCGGAAAUCGUGCUGAUAGUGCAAUGGCAUAAGCGUGCUUAACUGCGAGACCGACAAGUCGAGCAGGUGCGAAAGCAGGUCAUAGUGAUCCGGUGGUUCUGUAUGGAAGGGCCAUCGCUCAACGGAUAAAAGGUACUCUGGGGAUAACAGGCUGAUACCGCCCAAGAGUUCAUAUCGACGGCGGUGUUUGGCACCUCGAUGUCGGCUCAUCUCAUCCUGGGGCUGUAGCCGGUCCCAAGGGUCUGGCUGUUCGCCAUUUAAAGAGGUACGUGAGCUGGGUUUAAAACCUCGUGAGACAGUUUGGUCCCUAUCUGCCGUGGGCGUUGGAUAUUUGAAGGGGGCUGCUCCUAGUACGAGAGGACCGGAGUGGACGAACCUCUGGUGUACCGGUUGUCACGCCAGUGGCAUCGCCGGGUAGCUAUGUUCGGAAGAGAUAACCGCUGAAAGCAUCUAAGCGGGAAACUCGCCUUAAGAUGAGAUAUCCCUGGGGACUAGAUCCCCUUGAAGGGUCGUUCGAGACCAGGACGUUGAUAGGUCAGGUGUGUAAGCGCAGUAAUGCGUUCAGCUAACUGAUACUAAUUGCCCGUAAGGCUUGAUCC